CAGUAGCCGCGGUAAUGCGUAGGUGGCAAGCGUUGUCCGGAAUUAUUGGGCGUAAAGGGCUCGCAGGCGGUUUCUUAAGUCUGAUGUGAAAGCCCCCGGCUCAACCGGGGAGGGUCAUUGGAAACUGGGAAACUUGAGUGCAGAAGAGGAGAGUGGAAUUCCACGUGUAGCGGUGAAAUGCGUAGAGAUGUGGAUGAACACCAGUGGCGAAGGCGACUCUCUGGUCUGUAACUGACGCUGAGGAGCGAAAGCGUGGGGAGCGAACAGGAUUAGAUACCCGCGUAGUCCCUGUCUCUUAUAC
rnacentral:rRNA from 1 species